rnacentral:rRNA from 1 species
UUGCUCCCCGCUGACGAGCGGCGGACGGGUGAGUAAUGCAUAGGAAUCUGCCCAGUAGUGGGGGAUAGCCCGGGGAAACCCGGAUUAAUACCGCAUACGCCCUUUGGGGGAAAGCAGGGGAUCUUCGGACCUUGCGCUAUUGGAUGAGCCUAUGUCGGAUUAGCUAGUUGGUGGGGUAAGAGCCUACCAAGGCGACGAUCCGUAGCUGGUCUGAGAGGAUGAUCAGCCACAUCGGGACUGAGACACGGCCCGAACUCCUACGGGAGGCAGCAGUGGGGAAUAUUGGACAAUGGGGGCAACCCUGAUCCAGCCAUGCCGCGUGUGUGAAGAAGGCUUUCGGGUUGUAAAGCACUUUCAGUGAGGAGGAAAACCUUAUGGCUAAUACCCAUGAGGCUUGACGUUACUCACAGAAGAAGCACCGGCUAACUCCGUGCCAGCAGCCGCGGUAAUACGGAGGGUGCAAGCGUUAAUCGGAAUUACUGGGCGUAAAGCGCGCGUAGGUGGUUUGAUAAGCGAGAUGUGAAAGCCCCGGGCUUAACCUGGGAACGGCAUUUCGAACUGUCAGGCUAGAGUAUGGUAGAGGAGUGUGGAAUUUCCUGUGUAGCGGUGAAAUGCGUAGAUAUAGGAAGGAACACCAGUGGCGAAGGCGGCACUCUGGACCAAUACUGACACUGAGGUGCGAAAGCGUGG